GCCGUGGGGGGCCUGGACGCAGUGGCCUCCCGAAUCUCCCAGGACCCUAAUGUCGCCCGAGGAUGCUGGGAGGAACACUGAGCCGACCUCUCCGUUAGGCUGAAGAUUGCACAAACCAUGCUAAUGGCCAGCAUGGGUGGAGGGAGCGUGUGAGAUGUGUGGGGCGGCGUGCUGCAUCUCAGCCAACUCCAGGAGCCUGUUGAUGUGAUGGACUACCUUAAUUGAUUUUUGAAUGUUGAGCCAGCCUUAUGCAUGUGGGAUAAACCCCUGUUGAUCAUGCUUUGGAGGCUGGAAGUCCAGUUUCAAGGAGUCAGCAUCAUGGGAUCUGAUAAGAAGCCUCUUCCAAGUUGUAGACUGCUGAUUUCCAGUUGUAUCCUCACAUGGUGGAAUGACAGCCAGAUAAUUCUCUAGGGUCCCUUUCACAAAGGCAUUAAUCCCAUUCAUGAGGCUUCUACUCUCAU
rnacentral:lncRNA from 1 species